GCAGACUGAGAGGAUGGAGACUGGGUCAUCAGAAUGUCACAACUGACUCCUUGAAGCCAAAGCAGCAGGAGCCCCAAGAGCUGAGCAGGGGCCCUCAAGUCCAUG